rnacentral:rRNA from 1 species
UGGGGAAUUUUGGACAAUGGGCGCAAGCCCGAUCCAGCCAUGCCGCGUGAGUGAAGAAGGCCUUCGGGUUGUAAAGCUCUUUCGGCAGGAACGAAAUGGUUCGCGUUAAUACCGCGGACUGAUGACGGUACCUGAAGAGGAAGCACCGGCUAACUACGUGCCAGCAGCCGCGGUAAUACGUAGGGUGCGAGCGUUAAUCGGAAUUACUGGGCGUAAAGCGUGCGCAGGCGGUUUCUUAAGUCAGAUGCGGAAGCCCCGGGCUUAACCUGGGAACAGCGUUUGAAACUGGGAGACUUGAGUGUGGCAGAGGGGGGUGGAAUUCCACGUGUAGCGGUGAAAUGCGUAGAUAUGUGGAGGAACACCGAUGGCGAAGGCAGCCCCCUGGGUUAACACUGACGCUCAUGCACGAAAGCGUGGGGAGCAAACAGG